rnacentral:rRNA from 1 species
UUCGGGGGGGGCAAGCGUUGUUCGGAAUUACUGGGCGUAAAGGGCUCGUAGGCGGCCAACUAAGUCAGACGUGAAAUCCCUCGGCUUAACCGGGGAACUGCGUCUGAUACUGGAUGGCUUGAGUCCGGGAGAGGGAUGCGGAAUUCCAGGUGUAGCGGUGAAAUGCGUAGAUAUCGAGAGGAACACCGGUGGCGAAGGCGGUUCUCUGGGCCUUACCUGACGCUGAGGAGCGAAAGCGUGGGGAGCGAACAGG